rnacentral:lncRNA from 1 species
CUUGAACCCGCCUGAGCCCAGCCCCCCUGGAAGUGUAUAUGUGGCUUGGGGAUGAAGGGGCUGCUCGUGUCUAACUCCUGGGGACCUGAACAGCUCUAACAGAGUGGACCACGGGGCAGGAGACAGCUCUCAGUUUCUGCAUCUUCAGAACACUUCUUCAGGACCUAUCAGAGCUCUUAAACUGAAAACAUAGUUUUGUGUCUCACAUUUGUCCCACUUCAGGGCCUAUCAUGACAAUUUUUCUCAUGCCCAUGCCUUGUAAUGUCUAUAUAAUAGCCUAUCGUUGGCCAUGAGUGUGUUUCCAGUUGCUUUGUUAGCACAAGCAAUGCCGCAGUGAACAUCUUUGUGCACGAUUAUAAUUCCUCUCUUAGGAUAAAUUCCUUGCAAUUGCUGAUCCGGAGGAGGAACCAUUUGAAAGGCCUUGCUUGGUGUUGCCUAGUUGCCUCCUGAAAUGUCACGCUGCUUUGUGUGGACAUUUUCCAGCAGAGUGUGAGAAUGCCCGGAGAACAUUGCGAGUGAGUCCCUUCUCAAGGUCACGUUGACCCCAGCGGGGUCAGGCUUCAGGCAGAGCCUCAGUCGGGUCCAGGGGAGAAGCAGGGGGAAUGGGAGGCUGCUGCCAAGGGUCCGGGCACUGGGUGGGUGUGGCCUAGGACGGGGACCUUGGGGUGAGAACCUAAGAGACUCUCUUGGGGUCCCCGCCGGCUUGUCCCUGCAGCGGGUUCAGCACACAGCCGCCCGGCUCAGAGAGUACACGACAUCAGGGGUCUCAGGUGUGCGGGCCCUCAUUCCUGAGGGCCAUGAGAGACUGAGCGCUGGGCCCUGAAGGAGGACCCCCUGGACGCCCCGCUCCCCACGCCGUCGCAUGGAAGCACAUUCCGGCCCUGCAGUGGGGGGAGCAGCCAAGAGGGCCCUGUGUGUGCCUCGGCGCCUGCCCCUGUGAACGGCAAGCUCGUGCUGGAAUCGCCGCCGUCUGUUGACUCCGUGGAUGCUGUGCGGAGGUCUGGGCGCUCCUCUCUCCCUCGAGCUUCUCUCCCGGGGAGAGCGAGGGAGCGGGAGAGGGGCCGAGGCUAG